rnacentral:rRNA from 1 species
AACCAACAGGGAUUGCCCUAGUAACGGCGAGUGAAGCGGCAACAGCUCAAAUUUGAAAUCUGGCGUCUUUGGCGUCCGAGUUGUAAUUUGCAGAGGGCGCUUUGGCAUUGGCAGCGGUCCAAGUUCCUUGGAACAGGACGUCACAGAGGGUGAGAAUCCCGUACGUGGUCGCUAGCCUUUACCGUGUAAAGCCCCUUCGACGAGUCGAGUUGUUUGGGAAUGCAGCUCUAAAUGGGAGGUAAAUUUCUUCUAAAGCUAAAUACUGGCCAGAGACCGAUAGCGCACAAGUAGAGUGAUCGAAAGAUGAAAAGCACUUUGGAAAGAGAGUUAAAAAGCACGUGAAAUUGUUGAAAGGGAAGCGCUUGCAGCCAGACUUGCCUGUAGUUGCUCAUCCGGGUUUUUACCCGGUGCACUCUUCUAUAGGCAGGCCAGCAUCAGUUUGGGCGGUUGGAUAAAGGUCUCUGUCAUGUACCUCUCUUCGGGGAGAACUUAUAGGGGAGACGACAUGCAACCAGCCCGGACUGAGGUCCGCGCAUCUGCUAGGAUGCUGGCGUAAUGGCUGUAAGCGGCCCGUCUUGAAACACGGACCAAGGAGUCUAACAUCUAUGCGAGUGUUUGGGUGUCAAGCCCGAGCGCGUAAUGAAAGUGAACGGAGGUGGGAACCUUUCGGGGUGCACCAUCGACCGAUCCUGAUGUCUUCGGAUGGAUUUGAGUAAGAGCAUAGCUGUUGGGACCCGAAAGAUGGUGAACUAUGCUUGAAUAGGGUGAAGCCAGAGGAAACUCUGGUGGAGGCUCGCAGCGGUUCUGACGUGCAAAUCGAUCGUCAAAUUUGGGCAUAGGGGCGAAAGACUAAUCGAACU